rnacentral:rRNA from 1 species
CCUACGGGUGGCAGCAGUGGGGAAUAUUGGGCAAUGGGCGCAAGCCUGACCCAGCAACGCCGCGUGAAGGAAGAAGGCUUUCGGGUUGUAAACUUCUUUUCUCAGGGACGAAGCAAGUGACGGUACCUGAGGAAUAAGCCACGGCUAACUACGUGGCAGCAGCCGCGGUAAGUCGUAGGGGGCAAGCGUUAUCCGGAUGUAAUGGGUGUAAAGGGCGUGUAGGCGGGACUGCAAGUCAGAUGUGAAAGCCACGGGCUCAAACUGUGGUCUGCAUUUGAAACUGUAGUUCUUGAGUACUUGGGAGGCAGACGGAAUUCCUAGUGUAGCGGUGAAAUGCGUAGAUAUUAGGAGGAACACCAGUGGCGAAGGCGGUCUGCUGGACAGCAACUGACGCUGAGGCGCGAAAGCGUGGGGAGCAAACAGGAUUAGAUACCCCAGUAGUC